AUUGAACGCUGGCGGUAGGCCUAACACAUGCACUUCGAACGAGUGGCGGACGCGUGAGGAAUGCAUCGGAAUCUCCUCUGUCGUGGGGGAUAACGUAGGGAAACUUACGCUAAUACCGCAUACUAUUGGAUUAGCCGCGGUCGGAUUAGCUAGUUGGCGGGGUAAAGGCCCACCCGGGCGACGAUCCGUAGCUGGUCUGAGAGGAUGAUCAGCCACACUGGAACUGAGACACGGUCCAGACUCCUACGGGAGGCAGCAGUGGGGAAUAUUGGACAAUGGGCGCAAGCCUGAUCCAGCCAUACCGCGUGGGUGAAGAAGGCCUUCGGGUGGUAAAGCCCUUUUGUUGGGAAAGCGGUACCCAAAGAAUAAGCACCGGCUAACUUCGUGCCAGCAGCCGCGGUAAUUC
rnacentral:rRNA from 1 species